rnacentral:ncRNA from 1 species
ACUGAAACAUUGAAGAGGAUCAGUAAAGGGAUCUUGUCUUUAAAGAGAGGGAGCGGUUUGGUGAGAAGCUCCCAUUGAUGAACCUUUGAACCUGCCUCUAAGUUCUGUAUCGAAUGAAGAUAUCAGCGGUCCGAAACCGUUAUCAUGGAAUGAGUGUAAAGCUUUGCUUUGAAUCAGGGUGGUACCGCCAGAAAUGGUCCUUGAU